GAAUAUUGGACAAUGGUGGCAACACUGAUCCAGCCAUGCCGCGUGCAGGAUGAAGGCCCUAUGGGUCGUAAACUGCUUUUAUACGGAAAAAAACCCUGCGAUGCGUCGGGGGCUGAUGGUACCGUAAGAAUAAGGGUCGGCUAACUUCGUGCCAGCAGCCGCGGUAAUACGAAGGACCCGAGCGUUAUCCGGAUUUAUUGGGUUUAAAGGGUGCGUAGGCGGAUUUGCAAGUCAGUGGUGAAAUCCUGCAGCUUAACUGUAGAACUGUCAUUGAAACUGCAUAUCUUGAGUACAUUUGAAGUGGGCGGAAUGUGUCAUGUAGCGGUGAAAUGCUUAGAUAUGACACAGAACACCGAUUGCGAAGGCAGCUCACUAAACUGUCACUGACGCUGAGGCACGAAAGCGUGGGGAUCAAACAGG
rnacentral:rRNA from 1 species